rnacentral:misc_RNA from 1 species
AACGGUCUAUACCUGCGGUACCUGCGGAAGGAUCAUUACAGGGUUCGCGCCCCCCCCCGGGCCGAUCUCCCACCACUGUCAUCUCUACGAUGUUGCCUCGGCGGGCCACCGCGCCCGCCGCGGGACCCGCAGACCCGCGAUGUCCGUGCCGUCUGAGGCCAUUACAGCAGUCAAAACUUUCAGCAAUGGAUCUCU